rnacentral:snRNA from 1 species
AUACCUGCUAGGGGAGAUACUAUGAUCAUGAAAUGAUCGUGAACCUGGGUUUCCCAGGCAAGGCUCAUCUAUUACAGCGUGGAUGUACUGACCCCUAAAUAUUGUAAACUUGGCAUAGGUUGUGGUAGUCGGGGACUGUAUUUAUAAUCUCCUC